rnacentral:rRNA from 1 species
CGGGAGGCAGCAGUGGGGAAUAAUGCACAAUGGGCGCAAGCCUGAUGCAGCGACGCCGCGUGCGGGAKGACGGCCUUCGGGUUGUAAACCGCUUUUGACUGGGAGCAAGCCCUUCGGGGUGAGUGUACCUUUCGAAUAAGCACCGGCUAACUACGUGCCAGCAGCCGCGGUAAUACGUAGGGUGCAAGCGUUAUCCGGAAUUAUUGGGCGUAAAGGGCUCGUAGGCGGUUCGUCGCGUCCGGUGUGAAAGUCCAUCGCUUAACGGUGGAUCCGCGCCGGGUACGG